AGUAUUAUGUCUGAUUAAAGUAAUAAAUUGUAAAUUUAUUUAAGAAAUUAAGUUUCUGAUACUA
rnacentral:tRNA from 1 species